AACGAACGCUGGCGGCAUGCCUAACACAUGCCAGUCGAACGAGACCUUCGGGUCUAGUGGCGCACGGGUGCGUAACGCGUGGGAACCUGCCCUUAGGUUCGGAAUAACUCCCCGAAAGGGGUGCUAAUACCGGAUAAUGUCUUCGGACCAAAGAUUUAUCGCCUUUGGAUGGGCCCGCGUUGGAUUAGCUAGUUAGUAGGGUAAAAGCCUACCAAGGCGACGAUCCAUAGCUGGUCUGAGAGGAUGAUCAGCCACACUGGGACUGAGACACGGCCCAGACUCCUACGGGAGGCAGCAGUGGGGAAUAUUGGACAAUGGGCGAAAGCCUGAUCCAGCAAUGCCGCGUGAGUGAUGAAGGCCUUAGGGUUGUAAAGCUCUUUUACCCGGGAUGAUAAUGACAGUACCGGGAGAAUAAGCGCCGGCUAACUCCGUG
rnacentral:rRNA from 1 species